rnacentral:misc_RNA from 1 species
GUUUUUUACCGAUGCCUAGCAUCCUCACUUUCUAAGCGCCCUAUCCCAUUUUAUCAAUCCACACUUCUACCAACUCCCUCCCAUCAACGAAACUCUUUCAGCUUCGAAAUUCAAUCAAUGGGAAGCAGCAGCUGCGCCUCUUCUUCUUGGCUCAGCCCGCGCGCCACUGUCUUUAGCCUGGGCUCAUCACCCAAGCGCGAACCUUUCUCCCUCUUCUUUUUCUCCUGCAAAUCCACCAACAAUACUUUCACCUGUUGCGCUACUAGCCCCACAGAUGAUUCCUCCUUCUCACCAUCAUCAUCAUCCUUAUUAUCUGCCUCCUAUACCCGUCGGUGGUAUAAUCCUCUCAGGCGCAAGCCUUACGACCACCCUUCUCCUGAAAUUCUCCGCCAUUGGGUAGGAGCUGAUCAAUCACAAGCAUCCCAAGAACAUUUUACGAUAGUGUCAUAUAAUAUAUUGGGAGACAGAAACGCUUUCAAACACAGAGAUUUGUAUCAAAAUGUUGAUCCUCUUUAUCUGAAAUGGGCACAUCGCAAAAAGGUCAUAUCUAAAGAAUUAGUUGGAUGGAAUCCUGAUAUUAUUUGUUUGCAAGAGGUGGAUAGGUAUUAUGAUUUAUUGAAGGUUAUGGAGAAAGCAGGGUAUGCUGGUUCUUACAAGCGGCGCACUGGAGAUUAUGCUGAUGGUUGUGCCAUGUUCUGGAAAGCUGAUAAAUUUCGGUUGUUAGAAGGAGAGAGCAUUGAAUUUAAGGCACUUGGUCUUCGUGAUAAUGUUGCCCAACUCUCUGUUUUUGAGGUAGCAACUCAGAAACUUCCACUAUCUGCUGCUAUAUUUUUAAGUAGUAUGGAAACAAUUUCUUGCAAUAUCUUUAGUCUAGUUUGUUGAAUAUUUUCAUUCAUUUCUCAUUCAAGGUUCGAAAUUGAUUAGAGAUAUACAAAGCAAAAAUUUGCUGUGAGUUAUUGCUUGUACUGUAUGGUCAGAACCUGAGAUAAAGACCAAUGACGUUUUUGAUAUAAAGAUUAUGUUAGGACUUCUCAAUUUCUAACUGCAAGCUUGUUUGUAAGACUUGGUUAAUCUAACUGUUCUAUGCUGACUUGAGUAACUAACUGUUGAUAAGGGUACAUAAAAAUGAACAAUGCUUUGUCAUUGUGGCAUGUUACAUUUUUCACUUAUGUUUGAAUAAAUUGACCAAGUCACCAAGGUAGUCACUAUAUGACCAUAUCUUGGGCAGCCUAUUACUGAUUCUGUCUAUUAAGUUCUGUGUCUCAUAUUCUGUAAAUUAUAUUUCUGAAACCUUGUCUUCUCAAAGAAAGACCAUUAUACAGAAAAUGGUUGUUGUAGCAGUACUGCCACAUAUGGUGCUGUAUUCUUUGUUUUGUUCAUAUUUAAAUUUCUUUUUCUGAUUAAUGUUGCUUUGUAGGGCUGAGAUUAUGCUCAUUUUUAAAUAUUCGGAACCACUUUAUCUAGUUUCAACUGAGCAAUAAAAUUAGCAUUUGGCUUUUUCAAGUUUUUCUGGGAACUUGGGUUACAAUUUGUUCAUGAGAAAUGUAGGCUUUGAUAGAAUAUUGAACUAAUUUUCUUGUGUUGCCCUCCGCAUUGCAUCAGACGUCAACUUGCACUUUGUUGUCCUGUGUCUACAGUAGCCCUCUUUUCUAUGUCUGACUCCAUUUCAUACAGGCAGAUUCUUGAAGAUGAAUCAAGAAGGUUACUAGUUGGUAACAUCCAUGUUCUUUAUAGUCCAAAUCGAGGAGAAAUUAAAUUAGGUCAAGUAAGUACUUUUAUAUCAAUAACUGCAUUCUAUGCAGAAAGUGAUUGAAACAAGCUUAAUUAAGGUGCCUUUAAUGUUUCUCCCAUAAUAACUAGUAGAACAUCUACUAUCCAGAAUGAAAUAAUAAAGUCCUUGCAACUUAUUUCAUUUGAUGGACAAAUCAAACUUGGUAACAUUUGUAAGGAAAAUUCUGGACUGUUGAAAGCAGACUUUUUAUGAUGUUACAUUGCAUCUGUAGACCAGCAACAGAGCAACUGGAAAAGUGUGUGUACGUGUUAGUAAAGUGUCACUGCCACCUCUAUAUACUUUUUUUCAUAUGACUUGACUUGCAUUAUUAGUCAUGCUUGAUGUUGUUGUCUUUACUUUUCAACUUUUUCCUUCACCAAAUAUACUGCAAGCCAAGGUUCUUGAGAUUUCAAUAUACAUAAUAUCAUAAUUUAUUUAGAAAUCAUGUUAAUAGUAGCCGGUUGGUUAAAAUGCCCACUAAUUAACAAAAUGAAGCUGCCGCUUGUAUUUUGGUGCCUCUUGCACUUUUUGUUGGUUUCGCAAUCAGCAGGCACAGUUUUCUCUGUUGUCUUAAUACUGAAUUGUUUAAUUUGUAGAUUCGUUUACUUCUAUCAAGGGCACAGAUCCUUGCAGAGAAAUGGGGCAAUAUACCUGUUGUUCUUGCUGGUGAUUUCAAUAGUACUCCUCAGGUGAAAUAUUAUAAAUUCUACUUCUUUAUGUUCACCAUUGUAGUUGCAUUUGCUUCUUAUGCCAAUUAAUUUUUUGAUUCUUUUCCUGCUUGACAGAGUGCUAUAUAUAAAUUUUUAGCUUCAUCCGAGGUAAGCAGCUUUUUAAAGUUGUUUAAUGUAUUGGAAUUAUCCUGGCUGUGGAAUUGCAAUAUAUAUAUAGAAUAUUUUUAAUAGUCUUAUUUAUCACAAAUCAAACAACAAAUUUAGGUUCUUGAUUGACAAUGGAUAUGUUCUGUUUGCAGCUGAAUAUUAUGUUAUAUGACAGAAAAGAGCUGUCUGGACAGAGGACUUGUGACCCUGCACAGGUUCUUGGUCUAGAGAAAGAAUUGAGGAAUCCAUUAUAUUUGAUGGACAGAAUUUUGAAGACUUGCUGGACCAGAGAAGCAAUUAAAGUUGCAACCGGUGACCCUGACUGUCAGUUGCUUACUCAUCCUCUGAAGCUUAACAGCUCCUAUGCCGCACUUAAGGGCUCUACAAGAACAAGGGACUUAAAUGGUGAACCUUUAGCUACUUCCUACCACUCAAAGUUUCUUGGUACCGUUGACUAUUUAUGGUACUCAGAUGGUGUUGUACCUAUACGAGUUCUGGAUACUCUUCCAUUUAAUACUCUCAAAAGGACAGGUGGGCUUCCAUGCAAGGUAAGAACUUUGGAGAUGGCAAUAUCUACCAUCUGAUGCCAUUUCACUUAAAAAUUAAGCAAAACUUUUCUAUGAGUGGAGUGAAUUUUCAUUUCAUUUCUGUCAAUUUUUCUGGAAAUUAAAAUGUCAAUCCACUGAAGAAAUUUAGUUUUCUUCUCUUUUUGUCAAAUGCAACAAUUAUUGGUCAUUGAGCUUGUAUAAGAGUGUGAUGCUGAUUCCACCAUCCUUGGCAUCCCUUUUGUAAUAUUUAACAUGGAGUAACAUUGUUGAUAUUUUCAUUAUUUACUGGCUCUCUAGGUGACAUCCUUUCCAUAAACUGAUCACCCAAUCGCAAUGAGGUUUGAACCACAAACCUCCUCACAGAAAUCCCCAGCCUUUACAAUUAUGGUGUCCCCAUGGAGACUAUGAUCUCCUUCUCCAAUUGUUGGCUACAUGGGCCAACAGAGGAAAACACUAUUGUUCUUCCCAAGAGCUGACGCUUCUGGAGCUCACCCUUUCAGCAGAGCAAAGGACAAUAUCUUCAAUUUAGUUGCAUGAAUUUAAAACCUUCAAGAAAUGCUAUUAAUUAUUAUAGUUGGUUGGGAAAUGUUUCCAGGUUCAUUUUUUUCUAUAUAUAUAUAUAAACUGCAAAUCAGUCCUGCUGUCUUCAAGGUCAAACAAGUUAGUUCUCGCUAUUUCAUAUAUAUGUGUAUGUGUGUUAUGUCUAAAAUAUAUAAAAUAUUUUUUAUUAACGUAUCCUUUAUGUGUCUUGUCCUAAAUUCUUAAGAAUAAUCGUGUUAAAAUAUUUGUAUUUUAAUGUAAAUAAAUGUAUUUCAUAUCCCUAUUUAUAAUUUAUAGACUCGUUCAAUAUAUGCGAGUGUGAUAGAACAUAUUUAAAAUUAGGAGGAUUAAAAUAAUUUUCGUAAUUUUUCAUGAUUUAUAUCAAAAUUAGUGUGGUUAGCAUUCGAAAAAAAAAAGAAGGAUUAGUGUGAUUGGACUGUUUUCUGUUAACUAUAAAUAGGAUUAAAUUUAGACGAAAUGAUCAUUCUGUUGACAGAAUCAAAUGUGUAGGAUUAACUUGUAAAUUACCAUUUUUUAGAAUUACUGCGUGGCAUUGAUUCACUACUAAGCAGUAAUCACAUCUUGAUGAAAUGCUUUGUAAAGAUGAUACCAUCUCAAAUUACAGUGUUGCACUCAUGAAAUUGCUUACAGAGUUGUUACUCAUUCACAUAUCAAAAUACAAUUUCUGUAAGUGAAUGCUUCUUUAUUCAAAUCUAUUUCUGAUUCUGUGAAUGUACAGAAACUGGGAAGUGAUCACUUGGCUCUAGUUUCUGAGUUUGCCUUUAAACGAGGAGCCAAAGAAGGCAGCGCCACAAACAUAGCAACAGUCUCAGCUGCAGCCACCUCAUCUUCAAGAGAGGAUAACAAAUCAACAUAAUGGAUGCAUAUUGGUUGGCAUGGACUUCCAGGAUUGGAUUUUAGUCAAUUUGGGAAUGAAAUUCCACAUAUCCACUCAAUCUUAAUGUAUAUUUGUGUGUGUGUGUGGGUGUUUAUGGAUAAAUUUUAAUAAUUGUCCCUGAACUUAUAUGAUUGUAACACUGCAGUCUUUCAACUUUAAAAUAAAAUAUAAAACCCCAUAAACUUUCA